CAAGGCAGUGGAUUGUGAAUCCCC
rnacentral:tRNA from 1 species